UGGGGAAUAUUGCACAAUGGGCGAAAGCCUGAUGCAGCAACGCCGCGUGAGUGAUGAAGGCCUUCGGGUUGUAAAGCUCUGUCUUCUGGGACGAUAAUGACGGUACCAGAGGAGGAAGCCACGGCUAACUACGUGCCAGCAGCCGCGGUAAUACGUAGGUGGCAAGCGUUGUCCGGAUUUACUGGGUGUAAAGGGCGCGCAGGCGGGAUAAAAAGUCAGUGGUGAAAUCCUACAGCUUAACUGUAGAACUGCCUUUGAUACUUUUAUUCUUGAGUUCGGGAGAGAGAGACGGAAUUCCAGGUGUAGUGGUGAAAUACGUAGAUAUCUGGAAGAACACCAGUUGCGAAGGCGGUCUCUUGGUCCGACACUGACGCUGAGGCGCGAAAGCGUGGGGAGCAAACA
rnacentral:rRNA from 1 species